GACGAACGCUGGCGGCGUGCUUAACACAUGCAAGUCGAACGGAAAGGCCCUGCUUUUGUGGGGUGCUCGAGUGGCGAACGGGUGAGUAACACGUGAGUAACCUGCCCUUGACUUUGGGAUAACUUCAGGAAACUGGGGCUAAAACCGGAUAGGAGCUCCUGCUGCAUGGUGGGGGUUGGAAAGUUUCGGCGGUUGGGGAUGGACUCGCGGCUUAUCAGCUUGUUGGUGGGGUAGUGGCUUACCAAGGCUUUGACGGGUAGCCGGCCUGAGAGGGUGACCGGCCACAUUGGGACUGAGAUACGGCACAGACUCCUACGGGAGGCAGCAGUGGGGAAUAUUGCACAAUGGGCGGAAGCCUGAUGCAGCAACGCCGCGUGCGGGAUGACGGCCUUCGGGUUGUAAACCGCUUUCGCCUGUGACGAAGCGUGAGUGACGGUAAUGGGUAAAGAAGCACCGGCUAACUACGUG
rnacentral:rRNA from 1 species